rnacentral:rRNA from 1 species
UAGGGAAGCGAAAGCGGACCGACCCUUCGGGGAGCUGUUACAGGUGUUGCAUGGCUGUCGUCAGCUCGUGUCGUGAGAUGUUCGGUUAAGUCCGCUAACGAGCGCAACCCGCGUUGUGUGUUACAAGUGUCACACAAUACCGCCGGUAUUAAGUCGGAGGAAGGUGCGGAUGACGUCAAGUCAGCAUGACCUUUAUAUCCAGGGCUACACACACGCUACAAUGGUCGGCACAAUAGGUUGCCAAGUCGUGAGACGGAGCCAAUCCUCCAAAGCCGGCCUCAGUUCAGAUUGCAGGCUGCAACUCGCCUGCAUGAAGUUGGAGUUGCUAGUAAACGCAGGUCAGCUAUACUGCGUUGAAUACGUUCCCGGGGAUU